rnacentral:sRNA from 1 species
CAAAAGUGGACCGACCGGGAUAAUAUGGAUAUCAAAAAAGAGAUUUUCCCCUAAAGCUGCACUUUCGUCAAUCGAGUGGAAAUUGAACGUGCAUAUUAAGACUUCCGUCAAUAUUGGAAUUGAAAGAUAAUAACACCAAAUGUAUCAUCAACUCGUGCAUUGUGCCAUCAUUCCCGAGCGGUUUUUCAAUAUUGAUUGCGAUGGAGCAUUGAUUUAAAACGUUACGAGCAAAAACUACAGUGAUCCAAAAAUUAUUUGACGUUAUUAGAAAAAUGCUGUCCAAAUGAAACUUUUUUCUAUAACCUCGCCAUUUCAAAACAAGUUGUAAUUUGAAAUCAAUUUUUAACCACAAAUAAAUUUGUA